rnacentral:rRNA from 1 species
GGGCGUUAAGUUGCAGGGUAUAGACCCGAAACCCGGUGAUCUAGCCAUGGGCAGGUUGAAGGUUGGGUAACACUAACUGGAGGACCGAACCGACUAAUGUUGAAAAAUUAGCGGAUGACCUGUGGCUGGGGGUGAAAGGCCAAUCAAACCGGGAGAUAGCUGGUUCUCCCCGAAAGCUAUUUAGGUAGCGCCUCGUGAAUUCAUCUCCGGGGGUAGAGCACUGUUUCGGCUAGGGGGCCAUCCCGGCUUACCAACCCGAUGCAAACUGCGAAUACCGGAGAAUGUUAUCACGGGAGACACACGGCGGGUGCUAACGUCCGUCGUGAAGAGGGAAACAACCCAGACCGCCAGCUAAGGUCCCAAAGUCAUGGUUAAGUGGGAAACGAUGUGGGAAGGCCCAGACAGCCAGGAUGUUGGCUUAGAAGCAGCCAUCAUUUAAAGAAAGCGUAAUAGCUCACUGGUCGAGUCGGCCUGCGCGGAAGAUGUAACGGGGCUAAACCAUGCACCGAAGCUGCGGCAGCGACACUCAGGUGUUGUUGGGUAGGGGAGCGUUCUGUAAGCCUGCGAAGGUGGCCUGUGAGGGUUGCUGGAGGUAUCAGAAGUGCGAAUGCUGACAUAAGUAACGAUAAAGCGGGUGAAAAGCCCGCUCGCCGGAAGACCAAGGGUUCCUGUCCAACGUUAAUCGGGGCAGGGUGAGUCGACCCCUAAGGCGAGGCCGAAAGGCGUAGUCGAUGGGAAACGGGUUAAUAUUCCCGUACUUGGUGUUACUGCGAAGGGGGGACGGAGAAGGCUAUGUUGGCCGGGCGACGGUUGUCCCGGUUUAAGCGUGUAGGUGUGUGUUCCAGGUAAAUCCGGUUCACUUUAACACUGAGGCGUGACGACGAGGCACUACGGUGCUGAAGCAACAAAUGCCCUGCUUCCAGGAAAAGCCUCUAAGCAUCAGGUAACAUCAAAUCGUACCCCAAACCGACACAGGUGGUCAGGUAGAGAAUACCAAGGCGCUUGAGAGAACUCGGGUGAAGGAACUAGGCAAAAUGGUGCCGUAACUUCGGGAGAAGGCACGCUGACACGUAGGUGAAGUGAUUUACUCAUGGAGCUGAAGUCAGUCGAAGAUACCAGCUGGCUGCAACUGUUUAUUAAAAACACAGCACUGUGCAAACACGAAAGUGGACGUAUACGGUGUGACGCCUGCCCGGUGCCGGAAGGUUAAUUGAUGGGGUCAGCGCAAGCGAAGCUCCUGAUCGAAGCCCCGGUAAACGGCGGCCGUAACUAUAACGGUCCUAAGGUAGCGAAAUUCCUUGUCGGGUAAGUUCCGACCUGCACGAAUGGCGUAAUGAUGGCCAGGCUGUCUCCACCCGAGACUCAGUGAAAUUGAACUCGCUGUGAAGAUGCAGUGUACCCGCGGCAAGACGGAAAGACCCCGUGAACCUUUACUAUAGCUUGACACUGAACAUUGAGCCUUGAUGUGUAGGAUAGGUGGGAGGCUUUGAAGUGUGGACGCCAGUCUGCAUGGAGCCGACCUUGAAAUACCACCCUUUAAUGUUUGAUGUUCUAACGUGGACCCGUGAUCCGGGUUGCGGACAGUGUCUGGUGGGUAGUUUGACUGGGGCGGUCUCCUCCUAAAGAGUAACGGAGGAGCACGAAGGUUGGCUAAUCCUGGUCGGACAUCAGGAGGUUAGUGCAAUGGCAUAAGCCAGCUUGACUGCGAGCGUGACGGCGCGAGCAGGUGCGAAAGCAGGUCAUAGUGAUCCGGUGGUUCUGAAUGGAAGGGCCAUCGCUCAACGGAUAAAAGGUACUCCGGGGAUAACAGGCUGAUACCGCCCAAGAGUUCAUAUCGACGGCGGUGUUUGGCACCUCGAUGUCGGCUCAUCACAUCCUGGGGCUGAAGUAGGUCCCAAGGGUAUGGCUGUUCGCCAUUUAAAGUGGUACGCGAGCUGGGUUUAGAACGUCGUGAGACAGUUCGGUCCCUAUCUGCCGUGGGCGCUGGAGAACUGAGGGGGGCUGCUCCUAGUACGAGAGGACCGGAGUGGACGCAUCACUGGUGUUCGGGUUGUCAUGCCAAUGGCACUGCCCGGUAGCUAAAUGCGGAAGAGAUAAGUGCUGAAAGCAUCUAAGCACGAAACUUGCCCCGAGAUGAGUUCUCCCUGAGACUUUAGGUCUCCUGAAGGAACGUUGAAGACGACGACGUUGAUAGGCCGGGUGUGUAAGCGCAGCGAUGCGUUGAGCUAACCGGUACUAAUGAACCGUGAGGCUUAACCUU